rnacentral:tRNA from 1 species
GGAUAUUUAGUUUAUUUAAAACAAAUGUUUUGAAAACAUUUAAAGGAAGCUCUUUCCAAUUUCCA